ACUCAAAGGAAUAGACGGGGGCUCACACAAGCGGUGGAGCAUGUUGCUUAAUUCGAAGCAACGCGAAGAACCUUAUCCUGGGCUUGACAUGCACGGAUUAGUUCGGUGAAAGCCGAAUCACGCCCGCAAGGGUGGAACGUGCACAGGUGCUGCAUGGCUGUCGUCAGCUCGUGCUGUGAAGUGUCGGGUUAAGUCCCUCAACGAGCGCAACCCCUAUUGCUAGUUGCCAGCGCGUCAUGGCGGGAACUCUAGCGAGACUGCCGGUGUCAAACCGGAGGAAGGUGGGGAUGACGUCAAGUCCUCAUGGCCUUUAUGCCCAGGGCUGCAAACGUGCUACAAUGGCGUGCACAAAGCGAUGCGAGGCCGCGAGGCGGAGCAAAUCGCAAAAAACACGCCCCAGUUCGGAUAGCAGGCUGCAAUUCGCCUGCUUGAAGCCGGAAUCGCUAGUAAUCGCGGAUCAGCUACGCCGCGGUGAAUACGUUCCUGAGCCUUGUACACACCGCCCGU
rnacentral:rRNA from 1 species